rnacentral:rRNA from 1 species
CAGUCGCCGCGGUAAUACGGAGGGGGCUAGCGUUGUUCGGAAUUACUGGGCGUAAAGCGCACGUAGGCGGCUUGGUAAGUUAGAGGUGAAAGCCCGGAGCUCAACUCCGGAAUUGCCUUUAAGACUGCCGAGCUAGCAGGUGAGAGAGGUAAGUGGAAUUCCGAGUGUAGAGGUGAAAUUCGUAGAUAUUCGGAGGAACACCAGUGGCGAAGGCGGCUCACUGGUCCAUUACUGACGCUGAGGUGCGAAAGCGUGGGGAGCAAACAGGAUUAGAUACCCCUGUAGUCCCUGUCUCUUAUAC